AGCUCCAAUAGCGUAUAUUAAAGUUGUUGCAGUUAAAAAGCUCGUAGUUGGAUUUCUGGUUCGAAUGUUCGGUCCGCUUGUGACUUGUUUGCAAGUGCGUACUAUGAAUGUUUGGGCCAUUUUUUGUGAGGAAAUUUACCUGUCAUUAAGUUGAUGGGUUUAUGGACUUGCAUCGUUUACUGUGAAAAAAUUAGAGUGUUUAAAGCAGGCGUUUUGCUUAUUUGAAUACAUUAGCAUGGAAUAAUAAGAUACGACUUUGGUGGUCUAUUUUGUUGGUUUGCACGCCAGAGUAAUGAUUAAUAGGGACAGUUGGGGGUAUUCAUAUUUCAGCGUCAGAGGUGAAAUUCUUGGAUCGCUGAAAGAUGAGCUUAGGCGAAAGCAUUUACCAAGGAUGUUUUCA
rnacentral:rRNA from 1 species